UCCUGGUGCAGGCAGUCCGCAUCUUCACAGACAUCUCAAUCGUCAUGCUAGCCUUUCGCCCGGCGCGGCCCUCCCUCCGCUCAUUACUCGUUCGACAAAAUGCCUCCCCGGGGCAGCGGCCUCCGCCUCGCCAGCCAUCACCGACCCGGACACACACGUCUGCCAGCGCCCUCAUGCGGCGGCGGCGCCCUCUACUCUCAUGGUCUGCUGCACGCCUCCCUGGGCCGUAGGUCCGUCCGCGCAUUCGCUCCCCCCGCCCGUUUGUCAAGAGCACGGGCACGGCGCGGUCCGCCGCUCCGAGGGGAACAUGCAGGUGUGUUCGUGAUUGAUGGCUCCCGCGGGGCACUAGCUAGUCUGCACUGGUGGGUUGCGGAGGCUGCUGGUCCGUGAAUAGGAUGAGAUGACGAUAAAUUCGUCCGCCAAUUUCUUGGAGGCUGAAAGCUAUGGCUGGUUGACCUCCAUGGUUUCACUGCAUACAAUCUGCUCGGAGUGUAAGCACGCAAGUGGCUCAGAAAUAUAUAUUAGAAACUAGGUUUAAUGUUUAUCUGCGUCUGAAAGUGACAUGUUGUAAACGGCAACUCGGGUGGAAAAGGUUAGAAUCAUGACCAACACCUGAAGCGGGUCGUAUUGGCUUGUGUAUACAUUAUUACGGUUACAGGAAAACUUCCAUGCUUAAAAGCUGACAGAAGGGCCAGCACUUUAAGCAGAAACUAAGAUGUGUGGUCAUCAGUUUUUUUCCUGUUUCUCAUCUCUCCUUACCAAUUGGAAUGGGUCUAGCCUUCCAACAGCUCGCACAUGCAAUCGCUAUGAUCAAAUGUGUCACUUUUCAUCAACUGUGACUAUUGUUGGAACUUGCCCAUGGUUAACAAAUUCAAUCUUGUUCAGCCUAACGCAGCAGAGGACCUGCUCAGGGAGCUCCUCUUGCUUCUGGGCCUGCAAGGGGGAUACCUGGAUGUUCACAAUCAAGAGUGACGGGAGCUUGGGGUGUGUUCUGAUCUGUGGAAGUUCAAUGUGCUGAGCAAUGUGAUGAACCUUCUUGGGGCAGGCAAACAAGUCCACUCCUAUUGGAUAAUAAGCAGCAUAAUUUGGAGCUGCACAUUUCUUCUUAUCUCUGAAAAGAUUGAAAUCAGAUGUUCGGUUUGUACAGCUCAUUUCAUGCUUAUAGAUAAACUUAUUUGACAGCAUUAUUUCUUAGUUUCUCAUCAUACUUUAGGAAGGUCUCGCUCCUCAACUUGAAGAGGGAUGGAUCAAUCCGUGACCAACAUCCUGUUGUCGGUUUCUCUCCUCCACAUGGGAUUGUUUGCCCUACCUUUGGACGGACAACAUAUUUCUUAGAUUUACCUACAGUGAGAUUUUGAACAUUAGCUAGAUUGAGCGGGGUGUCAAACCGAAACAGACACUGGACUUACCCAAUUCGCUGCUGUCUUCACAGCCAUCGCAUGCUGUUGUCUUGUAUGAGAGCCGGAUGACUGUUGACUUUUUUUUUGCUGGGCUUCCACCAGUCAACUGCUGCAUCCUGUCAUUGAAGCUGAUAGAGUGCAGCAGCUUCUGUAAGCGGGAUGGGGUGGGGCUCUCCUUGUUAUCAUCAUCUGUAUCAUUUUUAUCCUUCAAGCCCUGGAAGCUGAAGGAGGUUGGUAAGCACUUUGUGGCACACACGGACAUGCUUUGGCUCCUACAUCCAUGAUCAUCACUUUUCACUGCAAGAAUAUCAGAUAAAGCUGUAGAUGUUGAAUAUUUGCAAAGCUUAUUCCUUUGAGGUGCAAUUAUUCAUACCGUUAUCUCUUUUCAGGUACUGUUCAACAGAUAAUGUCAUGGGCACACCACGGCAUAUCUCUCCAAUACGAGAGAGUGCGUCAGCAAAACGGGAAGCACUCUCAUAUUGCUUCAUCUGGUCCUCAUCUUCGUCUGAACUAUCUGCAGGAGAAUUCAAACCUUCAGCAUUGCAAAUCAUCUUCAAGAAUGCUGACAGAGUCAAACCAGGCAUCUUCGUUGCUGCAACCUACAACGUCCCUCUGGCUGUGGUGCCACUGCAUCUGCGUGAGGUGGAAUGUCUUGGAAUGCUCUGACUUGCCACGGUUCGCCGUCUCGACAUGGACAAUCUCACUCACCGAGAAGCCGGUCAUGCGUCCUCUGGAAUCGCUCAACUGUUGUGACUGGGGUGCCUCUGGCAUGAUGGAUCGGGAUCGGCUGCGGACUCUUCGUCCUCUGGUGUAAUACCUCGCUGGCCUCCUAUGCUCUAGGGCAGCCUUGGAAGUACAGGAACCCAUGGUGAUGGAUACUUGUGUUUAUGUUUUCUGUUUCUUGUAUCUUCAGUAAUCUUUAAGGUAAUUCACCUUCACUGAUUGUAAACACUGUGAAGGUAGAGAUGAAGGUCUAACCUGCAAUCAAAAGAAGAUUAGUUUGAUGCAUGUUUAAGCAGGGUUCUAAAGAUUCGCAUAUAGGCGGUGGGAGUGGAGUGGUUUCUAUGGCACCAAAGACCGAGUAUUCUCAACUAGACAGGCAAAAUGGGAGGGGAAUGUAACAAGAAACUGGAUAAACAGAAUGGAGAACUACCAGAGUGAAUCCAGGAAACACAGAUGGUUUCCAAAAAGCAAGAGACUUGGAAAGAGAGGGCGAGGUUUGGAGAAACCUGCAGCCGUUCUGCUAUAUAAUGUUGCAGUCUCAUGAUUGAUGGACUAAUUUUUAGAGCAUGUGUGCUCGGUGGUAGGUUGGCAUUUUGCAUUAUAAGCAUUAUUCUACACGACGAAUUAUAUCAACUAUUCCUGGACAAAUAAUUAGGCCAGGUUGACCUUCAGGGAAGGUUCUUGUUCAGUUUGCAUAAUGAAGAAAGAUCUUGCAGUUGAACAGAAAUAUGUUCAAGCAGAUUGCCUUGUACUGUCAGUAGGGGUUUCGGAUUUAUGCAAUGAUCAGAUGGAUGCCGCGUUUGCAGGGGUAUCUGCAUUUCUUGAAAGAUUUUCAAGGUUAAAGAGAAGCAAAUGUUCGAGAAUCAUCAGUCGGACAACCAGCUAUGAGCUGGAAAGAAUUGAUAUCUGAACAAAUGAAUUAUAUGUUUGGCAAAUGAGUUAGGGAAUAAUAGAGGAAUAAAUUCUUGGAACACUACGUGCAUUCAAGAAUAAUUGUUGGUGUUGGGUUUUCUUUCUUUGUUUUUUGGUUAUGGAGAGUAAAACAUAUUUCGUC